AACGCGAAGAACCUUACCUAGAUUUGACAUGCUGGGAAAAGCCACAGAGAUGUGGUGUCCUUCGGGGCCCAGCACAGGUGGUGCAUGGCUGUCGUCAGCUCGUGUCGUGAGAUGUUGGGUUAAGUCCCGCAACGAGCGCAACCCUUGUUCUAUGUUGCCAGCACGUAAUGGUGGGGACUCGUAGAAGACUGCCGGGGUCAACUCGGAGGAAGGUGGGGACGACGUCAAGUCAUCAUGCCCCUUACGUCUAGGGCUGCACACAUGCUACAAUGGGCGGUACAGAGGGCUGCUAAACCGCGAGGUGGAGCCAAUCCCUAAAACCGCUCUCAGUUCAGAUUGCAGGCUGCAACUCGCCUGCAUGAAGUUGGAGUUGCUAGUAAUCCCGGAUCAGCACUGCCGGGGUGAAUACGUUCCCGGGCCUUGUA
rnacentral:rRNA from 1 species